GCCUGGAUAGCUUAGCUGGUUAGAGCGUGGUGCUGAUAAUGUCAAGGUUGCUGGUUCGAUCCCCAUAAGGAACAGCGGCA
rnacentral:tRNA from 1 species